AGAACGAACGCUGGCGGCAUGCCUAACACAUGCAAGUCGAACGAGACCUUCGGGUCUAGUGGCGCACGGGUGCGUAACGCGUGGGAAUCUGCCCUUGGGUUCGGGAUAACAGUUGGAAACGACUGCUAAUACCGGAUGAUGUCUUCGGACCAAAGAUUUAUCGCCCAAGGAUGAGCCCGCGUAGGAUUAGCUUGUUGGUGAGGUAAGAGCUCACCAAGGCGACGAUCCUUAGCUGGUCUGAGAGGAUGAUCAGCCACACUGGGACUGAGACACGGCCCAGACCUCCGUACGGGAGGCAGCAGGUGGGGAAUAUUAGGACAAGUGGGACGAAAGCCUGAUCCAGCAAUGCCGCGUAGAGUGAUAGGAAGGUCCGUUAGGUUGUAAAGUCCGUUACGUUUACCCGGGAUGAAUAA
rnacentral:rRNA from 1 species